rnacentral:rRNA from 1 species
GGAAUAUUGGACAAUGCCCGCAAGGGUGAUCCAGCCAUGCCGCGUGCAGGAAGAAGGCCCUAUGGGUCGUAAACUGCUUUUACACCGGAGAAAACCCCCCUACGUGUAGGGGGCUGAUAGUAUGGUGAGAAUAAGCAUCGGCUAACUUCGUGCCAGCAGCCGCGGUAAGACGAAGGAUGCAAGCGUUAUCCGGAUUCAUUGGGUUUAAAGGGAGCGUAGGUGGACUGAUAAGUCAGUGGUGAAAUCUCUUCGCUUAACGAAGAAAUUGCCAUUGAUACUGUUGGUCUUGAGUACAGUUGCUGUGGGCGGAAUAUGACAUGUAGUGGUGAAAUACAUAGAGAUGUCAUAGAACACCGAUUGCGAAGGCAGCUCACAAAGCUGUAACUGACACUGAGGCUCGAAAGUGUCGGGGAUCAAACAGAUUAGAUACCCUGGUAGUCCGCACCGUAAACGAUGAUUACUCGCUGCUAGAGGGCAACUUUUAGUGGCUUAGCGAAAGCGAUAAGUAAUCCACCUGGGGAGUACGCCGGCAACGGUGAAACUCAAAUGAAUUGACGG